AGCCAAACAACUUCUUCUAGUUAAAAAUUACAGCGCUUCGUAAUGUGCAUAUGUCUUCAUGGAGCUCUUGUUGGUCCUGGUGUUUCCUCUCCGUCGUCCUAGCUGUCAACACAAGGCAAACCUCAUUAGCUCCAGAUUUCUUUGAUUACCUCCACAGGAUCCUGAAGAACCACACUGCCCAUGCGUGUGAUGGAGAGACGCUGUCCAUCAGAUGCUCCACCAGAACAUCUGUGGCUGUUCUCUAAGUGUAUUUUAUGGACGCCGUGUUCCAAGUCCAUAUCUAUGCACACACACAACCCCAAACAUAACAGAGGAAAACACAGACUGUACAUCAACCACAGCCAUUCAGAAAAUGUUGUCUGAGUGCCAGGAUCGGCGGGAGUGUCAGAUUCCUGUGAGCAUCAUUGUUCGAGAACGGUGUGUGAGACUUAGCGAAUGAAGUUGGCCUGUAAGAAUGACACAGUUUUGGCAAUCUAUUCAGCCACGUUUGGCCACCUGGAGCAUGACAGCCUUGAGUGCCCUCAAGAGACUAAAUCAAAACUAGAUAUAGGUCUGAGACUGAAAUAACUCACUUCUCCCAUCUAGUGGGAAGGUUUGGCUACAACAGCAGAGGCGGCAAAUUAUGUUCAAAUCCUUUUUUCCCAUUGUACAAAGUAGAACAGAGAUCAUAUUAUAUGAGACUAUGCUUAAAUGCUUGUUUUCUAUUAGAGUGCUUGUCUCCGUCAGUCUUGAGGAGGGUGUCAAGGACAUGUCAUGGCAGGACAAUCUGCUCUGUACUGGCUAAUGCUCACAGAUUUGGAGACCCCUGUUUCCCUGGGACCAAAAAGCACAUGUGAGUCUCCUUCACCUACGUACCACGUUAUCUACUAGAAGAUAUUGGACGUGGAAACAUAGAUCUGUUCUUGCUCUCUGAUUAUACACAUGGUCUUCCAGAGACGGUGGCUUUAUACUUUGUCUCUGGUAUCUGUGCUGGUCUGUUCUUCUUGCUGUGUUCAAUCUCAGAUUCACCCUGAUUAGAGAUCUGAAAGACCUUGCCUCUGAGCUAGGAGAUGAGCUCAAGUCCUCCCACCUUUUCGCCACCUUGUAUUCCCUUACCGCACACCAGACGUGUUCAACCCAGAGAUGAUAAUGACAUUGGUGAUGGAGGAGAGAAAGGAUGAGGACAAACCUGAGAUGCCCAAUGGAAGCAUCUGGCCUCAUAUCAACUCCAGUCCUUAUGCCAUGCACAAAAUCAAAACAUCAUCUGCUUAAUCUGGAUGUUUUCUUCUUAUCUGACUGUUUUCCUUAUUAAAAGAAGCAAUAAUUACAUGAUUUAACAUGAGUGAAGUCCAAGAUUACAUUUUCUUAAAUGUGUGAUGUAGAUUGUGACAUUGAAAUCAAGGCCACCUGCUUAUG